rnacentral:rRNA from 1 species
UACGGAGGGGGCUAGCGUUGUUCGGAAUUACUGGGCGUAAAGCGCGCGUAGGCGGACCUGCAAGUCGGGGGUGAAAGCCCGAGGCUCAACCUCGGAACUGCCUUCGAUACUGCGGGUCUCGAGUCCGGGAGAGGUGAGUGGAAUUCCUAGUGUAGAGGUGAAAUUCGUAGAUAUUAGGAAGAACACCAGUGGCGAAGGCGGCUCACUGGCCCGGUACUGACGCUGAGGUGCGAAAGCGUGGGUAGCAAACAGG